rnacentral:misc_RNA from 1 species
UUCCAAGCCUCCUUGCUCUGCCAUUUUCUACCCUUUUGUUCCUCACCACCUCAACAAUCCCCCCUUUUACAAUAUUCUCACAGCUAGAUACCUCGAUCUCACCCUAAUUCAACCGGACAAUUAUCUUUUUAAAAUAUCAACGAUUUGGGGUUCCUUUUAAACCAAAUAGAUGAAUCAAAACUCAGAUCUAUACACACAAAGUUCAGUCUUUGACCAAAGAUACAAUCUAGGGUUUGAAUUAGCCCGAUCGAAGUCGAAAAUUAUCGUAAAAUUGAAAAGCAGAUAAGAAAUUGAAGGGUAAAUUAGAGGGAAGAAUUCGAAA